AAUUAUUUUGAUAUUUUUUCAUCACAAAAUGUUUCAUCUUCUAAUGAACUCCUAUGUUGUGGUGAAGUCCUUAGGACUAUUUAGACUCGACAAAGGAGGAUUUGUCAUUUAGUCCUUAAAUCUGUUUGCGACCAAAUGAUACGUUGUUACCAAGGACGACAACGUUUAUCAAGCAUAGGUCGUUGUGUGUCAUAUAGGUUGGUUGUCCUCUUAA
rnacentral:lncRNA from 1 species